GACCAGCCUAAUAUUCAAAACCAGAGGUUGUUAGGUCGAGGGAAGAACAGGCACACUGCCCUACCAGGCACUGGGCACACACACGGUCUCACCCAUAGUGGCCUCCAAAGAAAGGGAAAAGGGUGACAAGACCCUUCUGCCAUGUUCUUCAUACCUGGGGUAUAUUUUAUGGGACAGUAGCUCUAUGCCCAUUUUUCUUCUCAAGUAACAUCAUUUCAUGGUCACACCAAAGAUUAUCCAUAGCAUUCCAAGGAAAUCAAGUGCCUUGUUUUUCUGUCAUAAAUGGAGAAAGCUUAAAAAAAAAAGUGAACAAUAGUAAAUAUAGUGAUAUAACUAAUAAACUGUGGGUCUUCUCCACUUCA